CAUUGUCUGUGGGGGUGCUAGCUUUUUAAAGCGGCUGAGAUAAUACCCCAAAGAGACCGUUAAUGCGGUUUCACGAACCUGAUCUGGGUAAUGCCAGCGUAGGGAAUAAGGAGAUAAAAAGAU
rnacentral:ncRNA from 1 species